rnacentral:tRNA from 6 species
GCGCCCGUAGCUCAACUGGAUAGAGCAUCUGACUUCGGAUCAGAAGGUUCGGGGUUCGAAUCCCUGCGGGCGCACCA